rnacentral:tRNA from 1 species
GUGGGCGUGCCGGAGUGGUUAUUGGGCAUGACUAGAAAUCAUGUGGGCUUUGCCCGCGCAGGUUCGAAUCCUGCCGCUCACG